GACGAACGCUGGCGGCGUGCUUAACACAUGCAAGUCGAACGGAAAGGCCUCUUUCGGGGGGUACUCGAGUGGCGAACGGGCGAGUAACACGUGAGUAACCUGCCCUUGACUUUGGGAUAACUUCAGGAAACUGGGGCUAAUACCGGAUAGGAGCUCCUGCUGCAUGGUGGGGGUUGGAAAGUUUCGGCGGUUGGGGAUGGACUCGCGGCUUAUCAGCUUGUUGGUGGGGUAGUGGCUUACCAAGGCUUUGACGGGUAGCCGGCCUGAGAGGGUGACCGGCCACAUUGGGACUGAGAUACGGCCCAGACUCCUACGGGAGGCAGCAGUGGGGAAUAUUGCACAAUGGGUGGAAGCCUGAUGCAGCAACGCCGUGUGCGGGAUGACGGCCCUCGGGUUGUAAACCGCUUUCGCUCAUGACGAAGCUUUGUGUGACGGUAGUGGGUAAAGAAGCACCGGCUAACUACGUG
rnacentral:rRNA from 1 species